ACACGUGCCUCCUCUUCCCUUGCAAUGGUCUGAUGCCUUAGCAAAGGGAAUAGGGCUUCUCUUCUUCAUCCAAAGUUACCCGGGUAACUAGUAUAACAGGAUAACUAGGGUAACUUUGGUUUAACCCUUGGAAGUUACUCGGGUAACUAGCAUUAUUACGCCAUGUACGGCCUCUUUAUCAUACUCAACUCCUCAUGUCUUUCUCUUCCCAUAUAUUGAUCUCAUCUCAACACCGUGGUCCGCGGUCUGUCCCAUCAAAACUCGACCUCUCGGGCCAGAAUCCGCGGACUGCCUUCGUCCGCAGUACACCCCCGCGGCUUGGUCCAUCUUCUUGCCUUUGCCCCUUUUCUUCAU
rnacentral:lncRNA from 1 species